rnacentral:lncRNA from 7 species
GCCCUUGAUUCGGGCGGAUCGAAGUUAGCCUCAGCCUUGCACGCGGAAAGGGGCGUGAACGGAGAAAUUGGGGGCAGGCGCCGCAGUCGAUUGCGCCCGUACACCAUCGGAGGGUCCAUGGGCCGUGUCCGGGAGCUUCCUUAAGCCACCGCGGGGGUGCUCGUCUCAUCUCGGGCGUGUGCGACGGUCGGCGAGCAGCAAUUUCUCGCCGAACUUUGACUUCGCCGCACAACUACGUAUCGUCGUGGAUUACGCCGAUACCGUCUAGCUCCCCGAUGAACAAGUGACCGAGGACCCAGGUGUUCAGUAGGUGGAAAUUGCGGAGCAGGAGCUCAUUGAAGACGAGCAAGCCACUGUGGAAUCUGAGGAUCAACAAGUAGAGAUAGCUGAGCAGGAGCUCGUUGAAGGUCAAGAACAGGUACCACAGGAUGAGGCGCAUGAAGGAUGCUGUGACGAGUUCGAGAGAGGUCUAGGCCGUCGUCUCCCAGUCAACUUUGGUUUGCUGGACCGUUGUCUCCUUAUAAUGUAAUUAUUUAUUUUGUACAGAACUUCUAUUAUAUAGUAAAGAUGUGACAUUCGAUC